AGAGUUUGAUCAUGGCUCAGGACGAACGCUGGCGGCGUGCUUAACACAUGCAAGUCGAACGGAAAGGCCCUUCGGGGUACUCGAGUGGCGAACGGGUGAGUAACACGUGGGUGAUCUGCCCUGCACUCUGGGAUAAGCCUGGGAAACUGGGUCUAAUACCGGAUAGGACCGCAUGCUUCAUGGUGUGUGGUGCAAAGCUUUUGCGGUGUGGGAUGAGCCCGCGGCCUAUCAGCUUGUUGGUGGGGUAAUGGCCUACCAAGGCGACGACGGGUAGCCGGCCUGAGAGGGUGACCGGCCACACUGGGACUGAGAUACGGCCCAGACUCCUACGGGAGGCAGCAGUGGGGAAUAUUGCACAAUGGGCGCAAGCCUGAUGCAGCGACGCCGCGUGAGGGAUGACGGCCUUCGGGUUGUAAACCUCUUUCAGUAGGGACGAAGCGAAAGUGACGGUACCUACAGAAGAAGGACCGGCCAACUACGUGCCAGCAGCCGCGGUAAUACGUAGGGUCCGAGCGUUGUCCAGAAUUACUGGGCGUAAAGAGCUCGUAGGUGGUUUGUCGCGUUGUUCGUGAAAACUCACAGCUUAACUGUGGGCGUGCGGGCGAUACGGGCAGACUAGAGUACUGCAGGGGAGACUGGAAUUCCUGGUGUAGCGGUGGAAUGCGCAGAUAUCAGGAGGAACACCGGUGGCGAAGGCGGGUCUCUGGGCAGUAACUGACGCUGAGGAGCGAAAGCGUGGGUAGCGAACAGGAUUAGAUACCCCGGUAGUCCAA
rnacentral:rRNA from 1 species